CCUACGGGAGACAGCAGUGGGGAAUAUUGCACAAUGGGGGCAACCCUGAUGCAGCGACGCCGCGUGAGUGAAGAAGUCUUUCGGUAUGUAAAGUUCUAUCAGCAGGGAAGAAAAUGACGGUACCUGCUUAAGAAGCGCCGCCUAACUACGUGCCAGCAGCCGCGGUUAUACGUAGGGGGCAAGCGUUUUCCGGAUUUACUGGGUGUAAAGGGCGCGUAGACGGCAGCAUACGUCUGGAGUGAAAUGCCGGGGCUGAACCCCGGAACUGCUUUGGAAACUGUGCAGCUAGAGUGCAGGAGAGGUAAGUGGAAUUCCUAGUGUAGCGGUGAAAUGCGUAGAUAUUAGGAGGAACACCAGGGGCGAAGGCGGAUUACUGGACUGUAAGUGACGUUGAGGCUCGAAAGCGUGGGGAGCAAACAGGAUUAGAUACCCGGGUAGUC
rnacentral:rRNA from 1 species